rnacentral:SRP_RNA from 2 species
GCCGGGCGCGGUGGCUCACGCCUGUAAUCCCAGCACUUCGGGAGGCAGAGGCGGGUGGAUCACCUGAGGUCAGGAGUUCGAGACCAGCCUGACCAACAAGGUGAAACCUCGUCUCUA